rnacentral:rRNA from 1 species
AACGAACGCUGGCGGCAGGCCUAACACAUGCAAGUCGAGCGAAGCCUUCGGGCUUAGCGGCGGACGGGUGAGUAACGCGUGGGAACGUGCCCUUUGCUACGGAAUAGCCCCGGGACACUGGGAGGAAUCCCGUAUGUGCCCAUCGGGGGCAAGAUUUAUCGCCAAAGGAUCGGCCCGCGUUGGACUAGGUAGUUGGUGGGGUAAUGGCCUACCAAGCCGACGAUCCAUAGCUGGUUUGAGAGGAUGAUCAGCCACACUGGGACUGAGACACGGCCCAGACUCCUACGGGAGGCAGCAGUGGGGAAUCUUAGACAAUGGGGGAAACCCUGAUCUAGCCAUGCCGCGUGAUCGAUGAAGGCCUUAGGGUUGUAAAGAUCUUUCAGUGGGGAAGAUAAUGACUGUACCCACAGAAGAAGCCCCGGCUAACUCCGUGCCAGCCGCCGCGGUAACAA